ensembl:lncRNA
GGUCUUUCCAGCCCUUUCCUCCACCCGGCCGCCGGCCCGCCCCGGGCUCCCCGCAGGCGGGCCUGAAAUAUGAUCCUGCAUCGGAAAGACUAUACCGACAGCACCAACCGCCCCGAGCGAAAACGCAACGAGUUUAGCUUUCUCCUCGCAGCAACAGCACAGGCUGGGGUGUAGGAGAUAUACCAGGCAACCCUGAUAGUUGCUCUUCCCAAGUGCCUCCUUUUCAAUGCGGGAGGGGUCGAUCUUUAACGUGCAGUACUCCGAGUCUCGAUGUUCCAGCUCCCAUCGGUCGUUUCACACCUUAUCCAUGGCUCGAUGCUUUGCCACAUUAAGACAAGUAGAAAUUGAUUGCCAUGCUUCCUGAUGAGGACGUAGACCUGGAAGAUCAAGAAGAAACAAGGGAAGAUUCCCUUAGAGUCCUAGUCCUGGUAGUUGCAUGCAGAGGUGGUGGUGUAGGGGAUUGUCUUGAUUACAAAGGAGGUAUUGACAUCAUGGUCCCUCGAUGACAUCUUAACAUAUUCCAGUAUAAAUCUUGGAAUUUUCUUCCUUCGAGGAGGGCUUUUGUGCAGUAGGUCUUGCUUGUUCGAUACCAUUACUCUGCACUGUAACAUUAACGCACGAUCUCUCAGGCUUCAAGUCUGAAAAAGUGCCCACAUUUAUCCCAUGGCCCAACCAGAUGACUUGAUUUUUUAGUGAUGGGUUUAAAAAGCAUCUGCUUUGAUGCUUCUUUGACAGUUGUUAGGUGAUAAAGAAUUGUGACUUCCUGCAUAUUAACUGUCAUUUUUCUAACACUUCCCUUCAUUUCUAAUUUUUAAACAAAUCAAGGCUCUGAGGAUUUUCCAGAGGUGUCUUAUUGAAACAAACUUACAACCAAAAUAACAUCUGCAGGUCAAUCUAUAUGAAUUUUUAUGACUACUAUGACAAAAUGUAUAACUAAAAAUUAACAGUAAAAUUUGGAAGCCUAGCUUAUAGGCUUAUAUAUGUAUAGAGCUAUAGCUCCAGUACUAUAUGGUUUGUCCAUCUGUGUGAUAUCCCUGUCUGAAAUAUACUUUCUUCUUACACCUUGCAAAAUCCCGAGCUUCCUUCAAAACACAGCUCAGGUGCUACUUUCAACUGGAAGCUGUGAUGCCCCCAGAUAUUGGCAUGACCUCCUUGAAAUUAUAUAUACUUUGUAUCUAGUUUCUUGUGUAUUUUUGAUAUUCCACAAAGGGUGGGAGAAGAUUGUAAGGUCCUUGAGAGCAAGGAUUAUUUCAAUUUUCUUUUUGUGUACCCAGUGUUUAGUACAGAAACUUAAAUAUAGUAGAGUACUUAAUAAAUAUUUGUUAAAUCAAAUUCUUUGAUCACAAUAUUUUUGGAUGCACAAUCUGGUAACUUCAACAUAUCCCUCAUUUCUAGCUUCUUUUCCUCCUUGUUCACUUAAGAGAAAGUUUAUCCUCCAAAAGGUGUUUUUAUUUCCCCAAAUUGUAGGCCGAUAUCACUUGUUUCUGUUUAAACAUUGGAUACAGUAUCUAUGUUUUGAUAAGUCAGUAAAGUGUGUUCUUCUCUGAUCCUGAAAAGUAUUACUGAAAAGCUAAUAGUGCUUCCUAGGAGUUCAUUCUUCCUCUGGCUGAUAACAGUUCUCUUCUUUAAUUUGGAUUCUUCUCCAUACAUAUUUACUUAGUACCGUGCAUGUACAUAGUAGGCUUUUAAUAAAUGUUACUGAUUGAUUGGCUGAAGGUAAUCAGAAUCUUAGUCUCUGUCUCAACCCAUCCCCUUUAUCCAAGUGAGCCUGAGGGUUAAGCAUUUCUUUA